rnacentral:rRNA from 1 species
UGGGGAAUAUUGGACAAUGGGCGAAAGCCUGAUCCAGCAAUGCCGCGUGUGUGAAGAAGGCCUGCGGGUUGUAAAGCACUUUCGGUGGGGAGGAAAAAGUCAAGGCUAAUAUCCUUGAAAAUUGACGUUACCCGCAAAAGAAGCACCGGCUAACUCUGUGCCAGCAGCCGCGGUAAUACAGAGGGUGCAAGCGUUAAUCGGAAUUACUGGGCGUAAAGCGCACGUAGGUGGUUUGUCAAGUUGGAUGUGAAAGCCCCGGGCUUAACCUGGGAAUUGCAUUCAAUACUAUCAGACUAGAGUAGAGUAGAGGGAAGUGGAAUUUCCGGUGUAGCGGUGAAAUGCGUAGAUAUCGGAAGGAACAUCAGUGGCGAAGGCGGCUUCCUGGACUCAUACUGACACUGAGGUGCGAAAGCGUGGGGAGCAAACAGGAUUAGAUACCCGGGUAGUCC